ACUCCUACGGGAGGCAGCAGUGGGGAAUAUUGCACAAUGGGCGCAAGCCUGAUGCAGCCAUGCCGCGUGUGUGAAGAAGGCCUUCGGGUUGUAAAGCACUUUCAGUUGUGAGGAAAGGUUAGUCGCUAAUAUCGGCUAGCUGUGAUCGUUAUGCAAACAGAAGAAGCACCGGCUAACUCCGUGCCAGCAGCCGCGGUAAUACGGAGGGUGCGAGCGUUAAUCGGAAUUACUGGGCGUAAAGCGCGUGUAGGUGGCUUGUUAAGCCAGAUGUGAAAGCCCC
rnacentral:rRNA from 1 species